rnacentral:rRNA from 1 species
CAGUCGCCGCGGUAAAACGAAGGGUGCAAGCGUUACUCGGAAUUACUGGGCGUAAAGCGUGCGUAGGUGGUUGUUUAAGUCUGCUGUGAAAGCCCUGGGCUCAACCUGGGAAUUGCAGUGGAUACUGGGCGACUAGAGUAAGGUAGAGGAUAGUGGAAUUUCCGGUGUAGCAGUGAAAUGCGUAGAGAUCGGAAGGAACAUCUGUGGCGAAGGCGACUAUCUGGGCCAUUACUGACACUGAGGCACGAAAGCGUGGGGAGCAAACAGGAUUAGAUACCCCGGUAGUCCCUGUCUCUUAUAA